UUCCCUGACGUUUGAAGUUCUUUCUGCCACAAGAUGGAAGGGCAGUGCUGGGACUUGCUGCACUCUUAUCGCUACUGGAAAGUCUACAGAGAGCUUUGAUGCAUCGAGCACUCUGGAAGAAGAGGCAGGUGAGGUGACCAAGGCUGAACUAUGGCAACACUAUUGGAGACUGAACAGAGGAGUUCUUUGAUUUACUACUGUGGAGUAAGCUGAAAGCGACGUGGAAUCCUUUUGUGGCUCUGCAUCUUCAACAAAAUCAGGUGAGGUGACCAAGGCUGAACUAUGGCAACACUAUUGGAGACUGAACAGAGGAGUUCUUUGAUUUACUACUGUGGAGUAAGCUGAAAGCGACGUGGAAUCCUUUUGUGGCUCUGCAUCUUCAACAAAAUCAGGUGAGGUGACCAAGGCUGAACUAUGGCAACACUAUUGGAGACUGAACAGAGGAGUUCUUUGAUUUACUACUGUGGAGUAAGCUGAAAGCGACGUGGAAUCCUUUUGUGGCUCUGCAUCUUCAACAAAAUCAGGUGAGGUGACCAAGGCUGAACUAUGGCAACACUAUUGGAGACUGAACAGAGGAGUUCUUUGAUUUACUACUGUGGAGUAAGCUGAAAGCGACGUGGAAUCCUUUUGUGGCUCUGCAUCUUCAACAAAAUCAGGUGAGGUGACCAAGGCUGAACUAUGGCAACACUAUUGGAGACUGAACAGAGGAGUUCUUUGAUUUACUACUGUGGAGUAAGCUGAAAGCGACGUGGAAUCCUUUUGUGGCUCUGCAUCUUCAACAAAAUCAGGUGAGGUGACCAAGGCUGAACUAUGGCAACACUAUUGGAGACUGAACAGAGGAGUUCUUUGAUUUACUACUGUGGAGUAAGCUGAAAGCGACGUGGAAUCCUUUUGUGGCUCUGCAUCUUCAACAAAAUCAGGUGAGGUGACCAAGGCUGAACUAUGGCAACACUAUUGGAGACUGAACAGAGGAGUUCUUUGAUUUACUACUGUGGAGUAAGCUGAAAGCGACGUGGAAUCCUUUUGUGGCUCUGCAUCUUCAACAAAAUCAGGUGAGGUGACCAAGGCUGAACUAUGGCAACACUAUUGGAGACUGAACAGAGGAGUUCUUUGAUUUACUACUGUGGAGUAAGCUGAAAGCGACGUGGAAUCCUUUUGUGGCUCUGCAUCUUCAACAAAAUCAGGUGAGGUGACCAAGGCUGAACUAUGGCAACACUAUUGGAGACUGAACAGAGGAGUUCUUUGAUUUACUACUGUGGAGUAAGCUGAAAGCGACGUGGAAUCCUUUUGUGGCUCUGCAUCUUCAACAAAAUCAGGUGAGGUGACCAAGGCUGAACUAUGGCAACACUAUUGGAGACUGAACAGAGGAGUUCUUUGAUUUACUACUGUGGAGUAAGCUGAAAGCGACGUGGAAUCCUUUUGUGGCUCUGCAUCUUCAACAAAAUCAGGUGAGGUGACCAAGGCUGAACUAUGGCAACACUAUUGGAGACUGAACAGAGGAGUUCUUUGAUUUACUACUGUGGAGUAAGCUGAAAGCGACGUGGAAUCCUUUUGUGGCUCUGCAUCUUCAACAAAAUCAGGUGAGGUGACCAAGGCUGAACUAUGGCAACACUAUUGGAGACUGAACAGAGGAGUUCUUUGAUUUACUACUGUGGAGUAAGCUGAAAGCGACGUGGAAUCCUUUUGUGGCUCUGCAUCUUCAACAAAAUCAGGUGAGGUGACCAAGGCUGAACUAUGGCAACACUAUUGGAGACUGAACAGAGGAGUUCUUUGAUUUACUACUGUGGAGUAAGCUGAAAGCGACGUGGAAUCCUUUUGUGGCUCUGCAUCUUCAACAAAAUCAGGUGAGGUGACCAAGGCUGAACUAUGGCAACACUAUUGGAGACUGAACAGAGGAGUUCUUUGAUUUACUACUGUGGAGUAAGCUGAAAGCGACGUGGAAUCCUUUUGUGGCUCUGCAUCUUCAACAAAAUCAGGUGAGGUGACCAAGGCUGAACUAUGGCAACACUAUUGGAGACUGAACAGAGGAGUUCUUUGAUGAUUAGUUGGAAACCAUGACCUCUCCAAGCAAGAUGGCUGGCUUCUGGCAAGACAUUGCUGGUGUUUGGACAUUGCUGCUGCCACCAUUUCAACACGUCUGCUCGACUAUACUGCCAUGUACAUAUGCAAGUAAAAUCCAAGGUGAACUUCACUCAUACUGAGGACGUCAUCUUCAUCCCCUUUUUUAUUUUUUUUGCCUGAUUUUCCUUUUCUGUGAUUUGCAUUAGGCAGUAACUGCUUUCUGAUCGCUUAAAGAUCCAUCCUCCAACAUUGUAAUAUGGAGUAAAAAUCAAUUGUACAUGGCUGAAGAAUAAAUGUUGUAAUGAAUAAACAUAA